GACGAACGCUGGCGGCGUGCCUAAUACAUGCAAGUAGAACGCUGAAGGAGGAGCUUGCUUCUCUGGAUGAGUUGCGAACGGGUGAGUAACGCGUAGGUAACCUGCCUGGUAGCGGGGGAUAACUAUUGGAAACGAUAGCUAAUACCGCAUAAGAGUAGAUGUCGCAUGACAUUUGCUUAAAAGGUGCAAUUGCAUCACUACCAGAUGGACCUGCGUUGUAUUAGCUAGUUGGUGAGGUAACGGCUCACCAAGGCAACGAUACAUAGCCGAACUGAGAGGGUGAUCGGCCACACUGGGACUGAGACACGGCCCAGACGCCUACGGGAGGCAGCAGUAGGGAAUCGUCGGCAAUGGACGGAAGUCUGACCGAGCAACGCCGCGUGAGUGAAGAAGGUUUUCGGAUCGUAAAGCUCUGUUGUAAGAGAAGAACGAGUGUGAGAGUGGAAAGUUCACACUGUGACGGUAUCUUACCAGAAAGGGACGGCUAACUACGUG
rnacentral:rRNA from 1 species